rnacentral:ncRNA from 1 species
GAAACGGCAAACCAUUUGAAAAAAUGGGACGCAAAGCUCCGGAGUCUAAAGUGAAAACCAUGACAGUCCAGCUACCGA